CAGCACAGGAGGAGUGAGCAGCUCUCAGACCCAAAACAGCGCAGGAGGGUGAGCAGCUCUCAGCCCCAAAGCAGCACUGCAGGAAUGAGCAGCUCAGCCCCAAAGCAGCACAGGAGGAUGAGCAGCUCUCAGCCCCAAAGCAGCACUGCAGGGUGAACAGCUCUCAG